rnacentral:rRNA from 1 species
CCUACGGGAGGCAGCAGUGGGGAAUAUUGCACAAUGGGGGAAACCCUGAUGCAGCGACGCCGCGUGAGUGAAGAAGUAUUUCGGUACGUAAAGCUCUAUCAGCAGGGAAGAAAAUGACGGUACCUGACUACGAAGCCCCGGCUAACUACGUGCCAGCAGCCGCGGUAAUACGUAGGGGGCAAGCGUUAUCCGGAUUUACUGGGUGUAAAGGGAGCGUAGACGGCAGCGCAAGUCUGGUGUGAAAUCCCAUGGCUUAACCAUGGAACUGCUUUGGAAACUGUUCAGCUAGAGUGCAGGAGAGGUAAGCGGAAUUCUUGGUGUAGCGGUGAAAUGCGUAGAUAUGAGGAGGAAUACCAGUGGCGAAGGCGGCUUACUGGACUGUAACUGACGUUGAGGCGCGAAAGCGUGGGGAGCAAACAGGAUUAGAUACCCGUGUAGUC